rnacentral:rRNA from 1 species
UACGUAGGGGGCAAGCGUUGUCCGGAAUCAUUGGGCGUAAAGCGCGUGUAGGCGGCCAGAAAAGUCCGCUGUGAAAACUCGAGGCUCAACUUCGAGCUGUCGGUGGAAACUUUCUGGCUAGAGUCCGGAAGAGGAGAAUGGAAUUCCUGGUGUAGCGGUGAAAUGCGCAGAUAUCAGGAAGAACACCCGUGGCGAAGGCGGUUCUCUGGGGCGGUACUGACGCUGAGACGCGAAAGUGUGGGGAGCGAACAGG